rnacentral:rRNA from 1 species
GAUGAACGCUGGCGGCGUGCCUAAUACAUGCAAGUCGAACGCUGGAAAUCUAGCUUGCUAGAUUGAAGGAGUGGCGAACGGGUGAGUAAUACAUAAGCAACCUACCCACGAAGACUGGGAUAAUCUCUGGAAACGGGGACUAAUACCGGAUAGGUAAUCGGAAGGCAUCUUCUGAUUAUUAAAGGUUAAAAACACUGGUGGAUGGGCUUAUGGCGCAUUAGUUAGUUGGUGAGGUAACGGCCCACCAAGACGAUGAUGCGUAGCCGGCCUGAGAGGGUGAACGGCCACCUGGGGACUGGGACACGGCCCAGACUCCUACGGGAGGCAGCAGUAGGGAAUUUUCGGCAAUGGGGGAAACCCUGACCGAGCAACGCCGCGUGAGUGAUGACGGCCUUCGGGUUGUAAAGCUCUGUUGUAAGGGAAGAACGGUAGAUAGAGAAUAUCUAAAUGACGGUACCUGACCAGAAAGCCACGGCUAACUACGUG